rnacentral:lncRNA from 1 species
CUCCGCCCCGGACUUCAUCCGCUCUGCGUCCUUCGGGGGGGUUUAAACCCGCGCCGCCUCUAUCUCUAGCGCCUAUAAAAGCCGCCGCCCCCUCCCGGUCUCCUCCACCAGCACCCGCGCCCCAAACCCUAGCCGCCACAAGCUCAAGCGCUGCCGUCGCUUCCCCGCCGUCGUCCGCCGCCUCCGGUGAGCACCCGCCGACGAGGACCCCCAAAAC